rnacentral:rRNA from 1 species
UACGCCCGAUCUCGUCCGAUCUCGGAAGCUAAGCAGGGUCGGGCCUGGUUAGUACUUGGGUGGGAGACCACCUGGGAAUACCUGGUGCUGUAAGCCU